GGCCCAUUGGCCUAAUGGCUAAGGCGUCAGAUUUCGGCUCUGAAGAUUGCGCGUUCGAGUCGCGUGUGGGUCG
rfam:Neurospora crassa OR74A linkage group III, whole genome shotgun sequence.